AUACCAACUUUACUUUGUGCAAUGUAUGUAACAUUCAGCUGAAUUCAGCCGCUCAAGCACAAAUCCACUACAAUGGCAAAUCACAUCAAAAGAGAUUAAAACAACUCAGCAAUGGGACGCUGAAAAAUGACAAUGGAAGUUGCCUAGAGGAUUGCAUCAGUUACUAUAUUUUACUGAACCUAAGAUGUCAUCAGUUCGAAGAUGCAAUGUUAUGAUACACCAUCAAUUUCAAAGAUGUCAAAAUGGGAAAAGAUCAGCAUCUUAAAAUGGAAGAAUAUAUUUAAGGUACUUACAAAUAGCACUUAAUAUAAGUUGUUUAUCAUUUUAUCAUGAAAUCUUCAUUGCUGUUGUAAUUAAAAUUAAUAGUAUAUCAACACAUAAAAUAGAGAUAACAGAUGUAUUGAAGAAGUUCAUCUGUAACUUCCCAAAUAAAUUUAUUGUGGAAAACCAUAAA
rnacentral:lncRNA from 1 species